CCCUUAGAUGUUCUGGGCCGCACGCGCGCUACACUGAUGCAUUCAACGAGCCUAUCCUUGACCGACAGGUCCGGGUAAUCUUUGAAUCUGCAUCGUGACGGGGAUAGAUUAUUGCAAUUAUUAAUCUUCAACGAGGAAUGCCUAGUAGGCGCAAGUCAUCAGCUUGCGUCGAUUACGUCCCUGCCCUUUGUACACACCGCCCGUCGCUCCUACCGAUUGGGUGUGCUGGUGAAAUGUUCGGAUCGGCCGUUUGUCGCGGUUUCCGCGUCAUGUGGCUGAGAAGUUAAUUAAACCCUCCCACCGAGAGGAAGGAGAAGUCGUAACA
rnacentral:rRNA from 1 species